UAGAUGCAAUUUUUCUAACUAUAGACAUAUGGAGCCAGAAUGAUCUCAAUAAUAAUUCACGCAAAAGACGCGAUGCACACAUGCGUAACCC